GGGUCUUCAGAGAGAGGGCUUCACGUGAGAAUUACCAAAGCAGGAACCAACAUUGCUUUAUUAACAUGGGUAGAGAGGCACUCCAGGUGGGGUCUUCAGAGAGAGGGCUUCACGUGAGAAUUACCAAAGCAGGAACCAACAUUGCC
rnacentral:lncRNA from 1 species